UGGGGAAUUUUGGACAAUGGGCGAAAGCCUGAUCCAGCAAUGCCGCGUGUGUGAAGAAGGCCUUCGGGUUGUAAAGCACUUUUGUCCGGAAAGAAAUCCUCUGGGUUAAUACCUCGGGGGGAUGACGGUACCGGAAGAAUAAGCACCGGCUAACUACGUGCCAGCAGCCGCGGUAAUACGUAGGGUGCAAGCGUUAAUCGGAAUUACUGGGCGUAAAGCGUGCGCAGGCGGUUUUGUAAGACGGAUGUGAAAUCCCCGGGCUCAACCUGGGAACUGCAUUGGUGACUGGCAGGCUAGAGUAUGGCAGAGGGGGGUAGAAUUCCACGUGUAGCAGUGAAAUGCGUAGAGAUGUGGAGGAAUACCGAUGGCGAAGGCAGCCCCCUGGGCCAAUACUGACGCUCAUGCACGAAAGCGUGGGGAGCAAACAGGAUUAGAUACCCUGGUAGUCCACGCCCUAAAACGAUGUCAACUAGUUGUUGGGGAUUCAUUUCCUUAGUAACGUAGCUAACGCGUGAAGUUGACCGCCUGGGGAGUACGGUCGCAAGAUUAAAACUCAAAGGAAUUGACGGGGUCAUAGCUGUUUCCU
rnacentral:rRNA from 1 species